GCCUACGGGGGGCUGCAGUGGGGAAUAUUGCGCAAUGGGGGAAACCCUGACGCAGCGACGCCGCGUGAGCGAAGAAGGCCUUAGGGUUGUAAAGCUCUGUUGUAAGGGAAGAAUGGCAUUGGGAGUAAAAUGCCUGAUGCAUGACGGUACCUUACGAGGAAGCCCCGGCUAACUACGUGCCAGCAGCCGCGGUAAGACGUAGGGGGCGAGCGUUGUCCGGAAUUACUGGGCGUAAAGAGCACGUAGGCGGAUAUUUAAGUCAGUUGUGAAAGACCGCAGCUCAACUGCGGGGUUGCAAUUGAAACUGGGUAUCUUGAGGGCAGGAGAGGUCAGUGGAAUUCCUGGUGUAGCGGUGAAAUGCGUAGAAAUCAGGAGGAACACCAGUGGCGAAGGCGGCUGACUGGACUGACCCUGACGCUGAGGUGCGAAAGCGUGGGUAGCAAACAGGAUUAGAUACCCGUGUAGUCCAU
rnacentral:rRNA from 1 species